rnacentral:rRNA from 1 species
UACGUAGGGAGCAAGCGUUGUCCGGAAUCAUUGGGCGUAAAGCGCGCGUAGGUGGCUUCGUAAGUCCGUUGUGAAAGUCAAAGGCUCAACCUUUGAAAGCCGAUGGAUACUGCGGAGCUAGAUUACGGAAGAGGCGAGUGGAAUUCCUGGUGUAGCGGUGGAAUGCGCAGAUAUCAGGAGGAACACCAAUAGCGAAGGCAGCUCGCUGGGACGUUACUGACACUGAGGCGCGAAAGCGUGGGGAGCGAACAGG